GCCCUUCGAAUCACACAGGACUAAAAGGAGCAGGUAUCAAGCACACACUCUUGUAGCUCACAACGCCUUGCUUAACCACACCCCCACGGGAGACAGCAGUAACAAAAAUUAAGCCAUAAACGAAAGUUUGACUAAGCCAUAUUGACCAGGGUUGGUAAAUCUCGUGCCAGCCACCGCGGUCAUACGAUUGACCCAAGCUAACAGGAGUACGGCGUAAAGCGUGUUAAAGCAUCAUACUAAAUAGAGUUAAAUUUUAAUUAAACUGUAAAAACCCAUAAUUAUAACAAAAAUAAAUGACGAAAGUAACCCUACAAUAGCUGAUACACCAUAGCUAAGACCCAAACUGGGAUUAGAUACCCCACUAUGCAUAGCCCUAAACACAAAUAAUUAUAAAAACAAAAUUAUUCGCCAGAGUACUACCGGCAACAGCCCGAAACUCAAAGGACUUGGCGGUGCUUUAUACCCUUCUAGAGGAGCCUGUUCUAUAAUCGAUAAACCCCGAUAAACCUCACCAAUCCUUGCUAAUACAGUCUAUAUACCGCCAUCUUCAGCAAACCCAAAAAAAGGGACAAAAGUAAGCUCAAUAAUAACACAUAAAGACGUUAGGUCAAGGUGUAACCUAUGGAGUGGGAAGAAAUGGGC
rnacentral:rRNA from 1 species